rnacentral:rRNA from 1 species
AGCGUAGGCGGCAAGGCAAGUCUGAUGUGAAAACCCAGGGCUUAACCCUGGGACUGCAUUGGAAACUGUCUGGCUCGAGUGCCGGAGAGGUAAGCGGAAUUCCUAGUGUAGCGGUGAAAUGCGUAGAUAUUAGGAAGAACACCAGUGGCGAAGGCGGCUUACUGGACGGUAACUGACGUUGAGGCUCGAAAGCGUGGGGAGCAAACA